rnacentral:rRNA from 1 species
UGGGGAAUAUUGCACAAUGGGCGAAAGCCUGAUGCAGCAACGCCGCGUGAGGGAUGACGGCCUUCGGGUUGUAAACCUCUUUCGGCGCCGACGAAGCCUUCGGGUGACUGUAGGCGCAGAAGAAGCACCGGCCAACUACGUGCCAGCAGCCGCGGUAAUACGUAGGGUGCGAGCGUUGUCCGGAAUUAUUGGGCGUAAAGGGCUCGUAGGCGGCCUGUCGCGUCCGUCGUGAAAGCCCGGGGCUCAACCCCGGGUCUGCGGUGGAUACGGGCAGGCUAGAGUCCGGCAGGGGAGACUGGAAUUCCUGGUGUAGCGGUGAAAUGCGCAGAUAUCAGGAGGAACACCAGUGGCGAAGGCGGGUCUCUGGGCCGGAACUGACGCUGAGGAGCGAAAGCGUGGGGAGCGAACAGGAUUAGAUACCCCCGUAGUCC